GAUCCUGGCUCAGGAUGAACGCUAGCUACAGGCUUAACACAUGCAAGUCGAGGGGCAGCAUUUUAGUUUUGCUUGCAAACUAAAAGAAUGGCGACCGGCGCACGGGUGAGUAACACGUAUCCAACCUGCCGAUAACUCUGGGAUAGCCUUUCGAAAGAAAGAUUAAUACCGGAUGGCAUAGGAUUAUCGCAUGAUAAUCCUAUUAAAGAAUUUCGGUUUAUCGAUGGGGAUNCGUUCCAUUAGG
rnacentral:rRNA from 1 species